rnacentral:snRNA from 1 species
AUCGCUUCUCGGCCUUUUGGCUAAGAUACUGUAGUAUCGUUCUAUCAGUUUAAUAUCUGAGUACGUCCCCCAUCGGGUGACUAUACAUAUUAAAUGAUUUUUCGAACAGGGAGUCGGAAGCGGGGCUUGCUCCGUCCGCUCCACGCAUCGACUCAGUAUUGCGUACCUCCGAGAACGGUGCACCCUCU